UCAAGGCGUGGAAGCUCUCCAUUCAGGAGCUGACAGUGCCGGGAAGCCUUCAAGCAGCCAGCGCUCAGCCCACUUGCUGCUAUCAGGUGGACAAAAGAAGAGUGAAAGACCCAGAAAGUUCACAGCACGUUACAUCUAAGAACUAUUCAUUACUUCAAGGCCAAGACAAAGUUUUGAAUCUAUACAUCAAUGAAGUGUUCACAGAAGGAUAACUUACAAGGAAAACUUCAUUCAGAAAAUUUUGCAAACACCCACUUUUUCACCUAAUUUUUCCUUAAUCUGCCACGAUACUUUCCCUUGCUGUUCAGCCUAUGAAUAAUCCAUCACUAUGCCUCCACUUGUUCAAUCUCCUCAAAUGCCCUUUCCGAAGUGGAGAAGCAUAAAGCCUUCUAUCAUCCUUUUAACAAAGUUGUUCCGUGAACAAUGGAAGUAAAAACUCAUUUCCUACCAGUCUCUGUCACACAUGGCUGAAUCUCCACCAUGCUAAUCCCAGCUUCCUGCAUGUUCACUUCUCCUUUGAUGCCAAGACCCCUCCAGUACACGAGUCUAUGCAGACUCUUCCCAUAAUUGUCUUGCACCUCCUGCAGCACCCCAACCCAGGCAAAAGAUAGCAUCUGCUGUACUUAAUCUCAAAACACAUAUGAUGAUGAUGAUGAUCUAUCAACAGACACAGCCAGAAAAUAUAAUCUUUUGCUUUGUUCUGAAGCCCUCCUUUUAGUAGGAAAUUAAUUUCCAUCUCUUUUCUAGGCAGUCACUGAUGUUUAACUUACUGGUAAUAGUAGAUAUCAAAUUAUUGUCAUUUCUUUCUCCUCCUGUUCCCUUGAGCAAAACUAAACAAGAGACUCCAAACUUAUGUGGAAAGUUACAUACACAGAAA